AUUGAACGCUGGCGGCAGGCUUAACACAUGCAAGUCGAGCGAGCGGCGGACGGGUGAGUACUGUCUGGGAAACUGCCUGCUGGAGGGGGAUAACUACUGGAAACGGUAUCUAAUACCGCAUACCAUCAGAUGUGCCCAGAUGGGAUUAGCUAGUAGGUGGGGUAAUGGCUCACCUAGGCGACGAUCCCUAGCUGGUCUGAGAGGAUGACCAGCCACACGGGAACUGAGACACGGUCCAGACUCCUACGGGAGGCAGCAGUGGGGAAUAUUGCACAAUGGGCGCAAGCCUGAUGCAGCAAGGCCGCGGGUGUGAAGAAGGCCGUCGGGUGGUAAAGCACUUUCAGCGAGGAGGCGUUACUCGCAGAAGAAGCACCGGCUAACUCCGUGCCAACAGCCGCGGUAAUUC
rnacentral:rRNA from 1 species